rnacentral:tRNA from 1 species
GCGGAUGUAGCCAAGUGGAUCAAGGCAGUGGAUUGGUGAAUCCCAACUCGCGCGCGGAAAACGGAA